rnacentral:rRNA from 1 species
CCCUUGGAUGUUCUGGGCCGCACGCGCGCUACACUGAUGCAUUCAACGAGUUUCUUCCUGGUCCGAGAGGAAUGGGUAACCUUUUGAAAGUGCAUCGUGAUAGGGAUAGACUAUUGCAAUUAUUGGUCUUCAACGAGGAAUUCCUAGUAGACGUAGUUCAUCAGACUGCAUCGAUUACGUCCCUGCCCUUUGUACACACCGCCCGUCGCUCCUACCGAUUGAAUGCUCAGGUGAGCCAUUCGGACUUUCAUCAUGCUGGUUUCCAGUUUUGAUGAAGGAAAGUCUUGCGAACCUUAUCAUUUAGAGGAAGGAGAAGUCGUAACA